rnacentral:rRNA from 1 species
CUACGGAGGAUCCGAGCGUUAUCCGGAUUUAUUGGGUUUAAAGGGAGCGUAGGUGGGAUAUUAAGUCAGCUGUGAAAGUUUGGGGCUCAACCUUAAAAUUGCAGUUGAUACUGGUUUCCUUGAGUACAGUAGAGGUGGGCGGAAUUCGUGGUGUAGCGGUGAAAUGCUUAGAUAUCACGAAGAACUCCGAUUGCGAAGGCAGCUCACUGGACUGCAACUGACACUGAUGCUCGAAAGUGUGGGUAUCAAACAGGAUUAGAUACCCUGGUAGUCCACACAGUAAACGAUGAAUACUCGCUGUUUGCGAUACACGGUAAGCGGCCAAGCGAAAGCGUUAAGUAUUCCACCUGGGGAGUACGCCGGCAACGGUGAAACUCAAAUGAAUUGACGGGG